GGUGGAAUCAUGAACUCACAGAGCAUAGGAAAAAAUGUCUCAAGGCUAAAGCAAUGUGGAAAUCAGCUCCCGAGUGUGAGAAAAAGAAAGCUGAGCAAAUAUUUCGAGAACACAAAAGACACUAUGUUCCCGCCGUUACGGGUUGUUUAGGUUUUGUUAUGCAAGAGCCUGAGUGAGGGCUGCUUUGUCUAAACGACUGCAUUUGCUAUUUUCAGGUGACCGCCCCAGACGAUUUGUAAUGAUAUGUGACGCAUGUUGAACGGCAUCAGAGCUGUCCUGAUCGGGGCGCAGUGAAGUACGGUUUGCUGAACAGUGAUUGCCACUUGGACCGAUACUGAAGCCGAAAUAUUAUUGCCGGCUAUACUGACGGUGCAGUUGGCUGUAUCACCAUACUGAGUCACUGACAUUUGUACUAAAGUCGCCUAUCGUCCCGGACGAAUUUUCUACGGUCAUCACGGUCCACACUGAUCGCUGCAAGGUGUCACUACUGAAUGAUCCCAAUACAUACUGACCGACUAA